rnacentral:rRNA from 1 species
GAUGAACGCUAGCUACAGGCUUAACACAUGCAAGUCGAGGGGCAGCAUGAACUUAGCUUGCUAAGUUUGAUGGCGACCGGCGCACGGGUGAGUAACACGUAUCCAACCUGCCGAUGACUCGGGGAUAGCCUUUCGAAAGAAAGAUUAAUACCCGAUGGCAUAGUUCUUCCGCAUGGUAGAACUAUUAAAGAAUUUCGGUCAUCGAUGGGGAUGCGUUCCAUUAGGUUGUUGGCGGGGUAACGGCCCACCAAGCCUUCGAUGGAUAGGGGUUCUGAGAGGAAGGUCCCCCACAUUGGAACUGAGACACGGUCCAAAACUCCUACGGGAGGCAGCAGUGAGGAAUAUUGGUCAAUGGACGAGAGUCUGAACCAGCCAAGUAGCGUGAAGGAUGACUGCCCUAUGGGUUGUAAACUUCUUUUAUACGGGAAUAAAGUGAGGCACGUGUGCCUUUUUGUAUGUACCGUAUGAAUAAGGAUCGGCUAACUCCGUG